rnacentral:rRNA from 1 species
CAAUAGCGUAUAUUAAAGUUGUUGCAGUUAAAAAGCUCGUAGUUGGAUUUCUGGUGGGAGCGAUCGGUCUGGCGCUUAGCGCGAGUACUUGCAUCGUCUCCGGCCAUCCUUGGGGGGAGUCUGUCUGGCAUUAGGUUGUCGGGCAGAGGAUCUUCAUCGUUUACUGUGAAAAAAUUAGAGUGUUCAAAGCAGGCUUAUGCCGUUGAAUAUAUUAGCAUGGAAUAAUAAGAUAGGACUUUGGUACUAUUUUGUUGGUUUGCGCACCAAAGUAAUGAUUAAUAGGGACAGUUGGGGGUAUUCGUAUUCCGUUGUCAGAGGUGAAAUUCUUGGAUUUACGGAAGACGAACUACUGCGAAAGCAUUUACCAAGGAUGUUUUCAUUAA